CCUACGGGAGGCAGCAGUGAGGAAUAUUGGUCAAUGGACGCACGUCUGAACCAGCCAUGCAGCGUGCAGGAAGCCGGCUCUAUGAGUUGUAAACUGCUUUUGUACGAGGGUCAACGCAGAUACGCGUAUCUGUCUGAAAGUAUCGUACGAAUAAGGAUCGGCUAACUCCGUGCCGUCAGCCGAGGUAAUACGGAGGAUUCAAGCGUCAUCCGGAUUUCUUGGGUUUAACGGGUGCGUAGGCGGUCGGAUAAAUUAGAGGUGAAAUCCCGAGGCUCAACUUCGGAAUUGCCUCUGAUACUGUUCGGCUAGAGAGUAGGUGCGGUAGGCGGAAUGUAUGGUGUAGCGGUGAAAUGCUUAGAGAUCAUACAGAA
rnacentral:rRNA from 1 species